AUCAACCUUACUUAUGCCUCACCCCUCUUUAUCCUAUCUCCUCUAUCGUCAGUUUGUCACUUCCACUCACUCACUCUCUCUCUCUCUCUCUCUCUCUCUCUCUGUUGCUCACUCAAUCUCUCUACUUCUCUCAUCUCGACGGUAAACCAAGGUAAUUAGACCAUUGUUUCUCCUUCCACAUACAAUACCAAGGUAAAAUUUUCUCAUUUUUCUAUUUAAAUUCCUCAAUUUUCGUUGCUUUACUCUCAAAUUAGUUUUUUGGGGAUUUCAUGGGUUUUGUGGGUUUGUGAGGGUGGUGUUCAUGGUCGGAUCUAACUUUCUUGAUUUUUAGGGUGGGUGUCACGGGUCAGAACAGUUGUGUUUGUGGUGGUCGGAUAGAUUUGUGGGUGUAAAUCUGGGUUCGUGGUGUAAAUCUGGGUAAGUGUACGGCGGUGGUGAUGGUAAGUGUACGGAGGUGGUGUUCAUUCAUUUUGUGUGGAUUUUCUCGUUCAUAAUUUGUAGAUCUAUAGUUGUUCUUUUGAAUUUUGAGGAAUUAUGCAUAUUUGUGUUAUGAUUGUAUUAUGAUAAAAAGGGAUUGUUCUCAACACACAAAAAAUGGCUGUAAAUUUGACAUCGAAAUCUGCUAUAAUCGAGGUUGGUGGAGGACACUUGAAUCAUUCUUUCUCAUCCAAGAACUCCAACCUUGGAAUUAAAUUUUCUCACUUUUAGCUGCGUGCUUUGCCUCAAAUCUGCUAUAAUCGAGGUUGGUGGAGGACACUUGAAUCAUUCAUCUCAAUCUCACUUUCGUUCUUCAAAGUUGCGUGCUUUGCCUCAAAUUAGAGCUCAAACUGUUUCAGGUGGAUCAUACAAUAUCUACACAAGGGAGCUUAAGACUCAACGUAUCGGACCACAAAUGUUGGGAUAAAACUUGUUUUAUUACAAUUAUGAUUUGUUUUUGCUCUUUUAUUAGUCUUAGUCUUAAGAUGUAAACUUGGGACAUUAUAUGAGCAAGUUGAUAAAUUUUGAAGUGAUAAUGAAUAUAUUUUUGCUUAUAGUAUA